rnacentral:lncRNA from 1 species
UUUUUAGAUUAAAAUAAAUAAUGAAUACUAACAGAGAUGUUGUUAGAUCUAUAACAGAUAAUCCUGCUGCACAUUAUGAAGCUUUUUUGAGAUAUCUUCAAUCUACCCAGCCUACCACAGGUAAGUUUGUAACCUACCACAGCAACAUCUUCAUCUGCAAUUAGUGCUCUAGUUCCAUCCUCAAUUGCAUUGAGUGUUCCAUCUACAUCUGGAAUAAUUGUUACAUCUUCAGCUGCUACAAGUGUCCCACAACCUCCACAACAACUAACAC